GAGAUUGUAGUUCAAUUGGUUUGAGAACCGCCCUAUCAAGGCGAAAGUUGAGGGUUCGAGCCCCGUUAGUCCCG
rfam:Gossypium raimondii chromosome 2, whole genome shotgun sequence.